AUUGAACGCUGGCGGCAUGCCUUACACAUGCAAGUCGAACGGCAGCACGGGUGCUUGCACCUGGUGGCGAGUGGCGAACGGGUGAGUAAUACAUCGGAACGUACCUUAUCGUGGGGGAUAACGCAGCGAAAGCUGUGCUAAUACCGCAUACGCCCUGAGGGGGAAAGCGGGGGAUCGGAAGACCUCGCGCGACUAGAGCGGCCGAUGCCUGAUGAGCUUGUUGGUGGGGUAAAAGCCCACCAAGGCGACGAUCAGUAGCUGGAGUGAGAGGCCGAUCAGCCAGACUUGGACUAGGACACGGCCCAGAAUCCUACGGGAGGCAGCAGUGGGGAAUGUUGGACAAUGGGGGCAACCCUGAUCCAGCAAUGCCGCGUGAGUGAAGAAGGCCUUCGGGUUGUAAAGCUCUUUUGUCAGGGAAGAAACACCGGCUCUAACACAGUCCGGGAAUGACGGUACCUGAAGAAUAAGCACCGGCUAACUACGUGCCAGCCGCCGCCGUAA
rnacentral:rRNA from 1 species